UACGUAGGUGGCAAGCGUUAUCCGGAUUUACUGGGUGUAAAGGGAGCGUAGACGGCAGCGCAAGUCUGGAGUGAAAUGCCGGGGCCCAACCCCGGAACUGCUUUGGAAACUGUGCAGCUCGAGUGCAGGAGAGGUAAGCGGAAUUCCUAGUGUAGCGGUGAAAUGCGUAGAUAUUAGGAGGAACACCAGUGGCGAAGGCGGCUUACUGGACUGUAACUGACGUUGAGGCUCGAAAGCGUGGGGAGCAAACAGG
rnacentral:rRNA from 1 species